UACAUGCAGUCGAGCGCGGGAAGCGAGCUGAUCCCUUCGGGGUGACGCUCGUGGAACGAGCGGCGGACGGGUGAGUAACACGUGGGCAACCUGCCUGUAAGAUCGGGAUAACUCCGGGAAACCGGGGCUAAUACCGGGUAAUACUUUCUUUCGCAUGAAGGAAAGUUGAAAGAUGGCUUCUCGCUAUCACUUACAGAUGGGCCCGCGGCGCAUUAGCUAGUUGGUGAGGUAACGGCUCACCAAGGCGACGAUGCGUAGCCGACCUGAGAGGGUGAUCGGCCACACUGGGACUGAGACACGGCCCAGACUCCUACGGGAGGCAGCAGUAGGGAAUCUUCCGCAAUGGACGAAAGUCUGACGGAGCAACGCCGCGUGAACGAUGAAGGUCUUCGGAUCGUAAAGUUCUGUUGUUAGGGAAGAACAAGUACCGUGCGAAUAGAGCGGUACCUUGACGGUACCUAACGAGGAAGCCCCGGCUAACUACGUGCCAGCAGCCGCGGUAAUACGUAGGGGGCAAGCGUUGUCCGGAAUUAUUGGGCGUAAAGCGCGCGCAGGCGGUUCCUUAAGUCUGAUGUGAAAGCCCACGGCUCAACCGUGGAGGGUCAUUGGAAACUGGGGAACUUGAGGACAGAAGAGGAGAGUGGAAUUCCACGUGUAGCGGUGAAAUGCGUAGAUAUGUGGAGGAACACCAGUGGCGAAGGCGACUCUCUGGUCUGUUUCUGACGCUGAGGUGCGAAAGCGUGGGUAGCAAACAGGAUUAGAUACCCUGGUAGUCCACGCCGUAAACGAUGAGUGCUAGGUGUUAGGGGGCUUCCACCCCUUAGUGCUGAAGUUAACGCAUUAAGCACUCCG
rnacentral:rRNA from 1 species